UUAGAGAGGGGGCAGGUCCUCACAGAUCGCCAAAGAAAUCCCUAUCGUCCUAGUGACCACGGUUCCACCAGGUCUGUACAGAUUGUCUCUUCUGCUGGCUCCGCCGCGGCUCGUGGCUGUCUCUCUCCCUGAGUGCCUGUCCCCAGUCCCCUGUCCCCGUCCGUGCGUCUCUCUCAGGCUCCGGCGGCUUCGUCACUGCUCUCGGCUGUUCCCAGCCGCUCUGGAAGCCCCCUAGCCUUAAUGCAGCGCUCGACGACGUCACUGCGGGCGGCGGCCAAUCAGAGACUCGCGGUCCCUCUGUAAACCAUUAUCCAUCCCGGCGGCCGGGGAGAGUGCAGCGCGACCGCUUAUAGUGAAUCAACCGCGGGACCCGCGGCAAAGUACGCGGCGCGACGUGGCGCAGCGGCCCGGGGACCAGUCCUGACCCGGAGUACGGCGUCCACUUCCCAACGCUUUGGAACAUGAUUUACUGGGCUCUUGUCAACUCCCCUUCCUCAGGACCCAGGGCUGACUCGGAAUCUUCACCAGUCCCGGGGUCAUUUCCCGCCAGGAGACAGCUAGUACCACUAGGCUCCCGAAAGACAGUUUCCUGGCCUGAUCAGAAUGAAGAACACAUGAUAAUUGUCUGGUAUGAAGAACGGGAGCUAUCACCCAAGGUCCACGACUGACAUGUUUUGCCCUCCAGCAAAUGAAGAGAACGAAGGGAGCAGAUACCAAGUGGGAUGACAUUGGACUGGAGGAAGAAAGGGAAGAUGACCUCCUGAAAGGCCUGAGCAGCAAUAGAGCUCUCAGAUGAUCCUUACUGCCAUGUGUUGCCCUGAAUUGUCUGACAGGCUUUAAUUGUGUCUGCUCUCAAUAACCUGUGUACUCCCAUUUGCCAAAUGCUGCUCUGCCAAAGCAUCCUCAAAUAAACUUGCUUAAAAUGAUGUCAGGGCCUUGCAUGGGCUAUUUAAUUCUAUCAAUGAUAAACAAUGUUAAUGUGUAACAUUCCAGACUCCACGAUGUCAUGUUUCAUUUAUAUAUGCCCAUACAUAUUUAAGCAGGAAAGAUAGAUUACAGAUGUGUAUUUUUCUACUAGUUACUUAUGUGAAAUGCAAUGAAAAAGACAGAAAUCUCAUAACCUGGCGAAUGUACCUAUAUGCCUUCUUUGCACACAUGGAUUUUUAUAUUCCUA
rnacentral:lncRNA from 1 species